CGGCGCCCCUCACGUCUCCACGCGGGAAAGUUGCUUCCUGACUCUGAGCUCUCCCCCGGCUCGGGCAGCCGAGUGCAGUGAUCAUUCCCGAUCCCAAAAGCGUCUCUACGCCCCUUGGGGAGUGCGAAGAGUGCAGCGUCCUUGGAAGCCAGCUUUGAGCAAGGCACCUGACCUUCCAGGACUUGAGGAGGCGCCUCAGAGAAACCCUGCCUCACUGUCUGCUCGCGUCUCAGACAUCUGUCUACAUGGAGUCUACAGACCUUCUUUGGGAAGAGGAAUCGUAGGAGAACUAUUGACUUUCUUCAAGCAGUAUCAUGGCUGGAUUUGUGUUUUAGGAUAAUCUCCUUGGCUCCUGUGUGGGGUAGAUUCAGAAGGACCUAGGGGAAGGAGUGAUUCAUCUGAAGAAGCAGACAGAGUUCAUCAGUCAGCAUGGGGGAGGGGAGCUGAUCGUUCCACCACAGGGAACACCAGAAGUGGAGUGUGGAGGCCCUGGUGAGCAGGCUUGUGGUGCACUGUGGUGAGGGCAGAAUCCAAGAAGGAGCGGGGCAUUUUCCUUGAGGGACAGGAGAAUCAUCAGAGUCCUAUAAGCUCAUCAAAUUUAGAGGGAUGAUUGUGACAGUGGAGUGGAAGUUUGGGGCUUACAUAGAGGUAUAUUUCAUCACUGCAUGUGACAAAUAAUAAUAGUUCAUGAUAUUUAUAGAGCCUUCUGAGCACUGUAUGUGCACUGUAUCAUUUAACCACCACAAAAGUCUGCUAAGAUACAUACUAUUAUUACUGAGAAGCCAUAGAAUUUCAUUAUCAUGAAGCCAUGCUUUGAAGCUAAACCAUUUGGGUUAAAAUCUUGACUCCACACUUAAUUAAAUGUGUACUUUUAGGCAGGUAACUUUCCAUAAUGCAGUUUUCUUCCGUUUAUAAUGGGGUAAUAAAAGUGCCAGGAUGAUGGGGUUGUAGAAAGGA
rnacentral:lncRNA from 1 species